AUUGCAAGUGCUGUACAGUCUGACCCUGGUGCUGGCUCCUCGAAGCAAGUAACACUGGUAGAGGGAAAUACAGUGUCCCUGUUGAAGCCAGCACACAUGCACACAGUCUCCCACACAGAGGGUGAACCAAAUGAUGAAGACACUCUGUCUGUGUGUUCUGAGACAGUUGCUGAGG